rnacentral:rRNA from 1 species
GAUGAACGCUGGCGGCGUGCCUAAUACAUGCAAGUCGAGCGAACAGACGAGGAGCUUGCUCCUCUGACGUUAGCGGCGGACGGGUGAGUAACACGUGGAUAACCUACCUAUAAGACUGGGAUAACUUCGGGAAACCGGAGCUAAUACCGGAUAAUAUAUUGAACCGCAUGGUUCAUUAGUGAAAGACGGUUUUGCUGUCACUUAUAGAUGGAUCCGCGCCGCAUUAGCUAGUUGGUAAGGUAACGGCUUACCAAGGCGACGAUGCGUAGCCGACCUGAGAGGGUGAUCGGCCACACUGGAACUGAGACACGGUCCAGACUCAUACGGGAGGCAGCAGGAGGGAAUCUUCCGCAAUGGGCGAAAGCCUGACGGAGCAACGCAGCGUGAGUGAUGAAGGUCUGCGGAUCGUAAAACUCUGUUAUGAGGGAAGAACAAAUGUGUAAGUAACUAUGCACGUCUUGACGGUACCUAAUCAGAAAGCGACGGCUAACUACGUG